GACGAACGCUGGCGGCGUGCUUAACACAUGCAAGUCGAACGAAGUGGCGAACGGGUGAGUAAUACGUGGGUAACCUGCCCUCCUUUUUGGGAUAAGCCUUGGAAACGGGGUCUAAUAACGAAUAAAGGGGGAUGGGCUCGCGGCCUUUCUGCUUGUUGGUGGGGUGAUGGCCGACCAAGGCGGUGACGGGUAGCCGGCCUGAGGGGGUGACCGGCAACGUUGGGACGGCGAUACGGCACAGGGUGCUACGAGAGGCGGAAGUGGGGGAAAGUGCAGAAGGGGCGAAGGCCAGAUGCAGCGAGGCCGAGUAGGGGAUGAGGGCUUUAAGGUUUUUAGCCUGAUUCGCAAGCGAGCGGGUAGCUUAAGAAAAAGCGCCGGCUAACUACGUGCCAGCAGCCGCGGUAAUAC
rnacentral:rRNA from 1 species